rnacentral:rRNA from 1 species
UGGGGAAUAUUGCACAAUGGGGGAAACCCUGAUGCAGCAACGCCGCGUGAGUGAAGAAGUAUUUCGGUAUGUAAAGCUCUAUCAGCAGGGAAGAAGAUGACGGUACCUGAGUAAGAAGCCCCGGCUAACUACGUGCCAGCAGCCGCGGUAAUACGUAGGGGGCAAGCGUUAUCCGGAUUUACUGGGUGUAAAGGGAGCGUAGACGGUGAGACAAGUCUGAAGUGAAAGCCCGGGGCUCAACCCCGGGACUGCUUUGGAAACUGCCUGACUGGAGUGCUGGAGAGGCAAGCGGAAUUCCUAGUG